rfam:Hordeum vulgare subsp. vulgare, WGS project CAJW01000000 data, contig: morex_contig_185898
UCGUCCGGUGAUGAUCAAACUAAAUACUUUUGUUCUUCUAAUGCAAUAUCUCAUAGCUUGGUACAGAAGUGAUUUGGAGACCUAAACUGAGGAAAC